GUGUGAUUCUUAUUGCUCUAAAGAAAUGCUUGAAAACAAACAGAACGUAUAAAAGUAAUCGUCAUUGGAAUGCGAUAGCAAUACACAUUCUGAGGUCACGCAGGUUCAUACAAUACUCAGUCCGGCAGUGGGCGGAGCUUUGAAGCGAUAUCUGUAUAGUAUACAGAUACAGCAUAGCGAUAUCUAUAGGGCUGUAUCUGUAU
rnacentral:lncRNA from 1 species